UUAAGCCAUUUUUGAGGAGCAAGGGAACAAACAAGAAGACGUUGAUCUCGUACAUCAGAGAGUACGAGUUCAAACGGUGUAGUACGAAUGUUUUUGAAAGCAUUCUGCUCGCCUUAAAAGCUGAGUAGGCCCAGCUUAGGACCAGCAUAGGGACCAAGAUCCAUUUAUUUUUUUACGACUAUUUUAAUCACAUUUUAUCAUUCAAGGUGGCUAGCAAAUGCUGAGAAGUGUUUUAAGCACGAUUAAAAUAAUCAUGCUCACACAUUUUCAGAACUCCGACCCCAACCUCCACGUGGUGCUGGCUGGAUUACAACUGUUGCACAAAAUGUGCAACAAUUGUAUACCAACUGGGGCGGGGGUGUUGUGUUUUUUGUUUGUCGUUUCAGAUCACCGUUUUGCUGUCGAUCAACGGAUACAUUUAUAGUUUUGCUUGCAGCAAAACAAAGUAACUUUUAUGUGCGACAUCGAACCACCAAUCCAUCUCAGAACCAUGUCCUGUCGACACUCUCACCAAGGACGGUUUUAUAUGAUGUAUGCGGCGUGCGGAGUGAGUGGCAAACGAUACUUCAUCUAAGCUGCUCAUCGUUUUCUUCCUCUACUGCGGUAUCGGAAUCGUAACAUCGUAAAUAUGGCCCCAGCGACCUAUUUCUAUUGUUGCGACAAAUGUCAGCACGCGUCGUACGAAUCAUCGGUGGUAUGCUGCCCGAAGAACAAAGCUGUGAACCCACAGCCCGAUUGCACGAUCAGCACAGUUACAGCACAGCGUAAGGUUCAACAUCUGGGGCUCGCGUUGAGCUAACAGCACGGCACCGUCAACGACACGAUCGGUCACCCAACGCCAUGCCCGUCGAAUGAUCCACCCUCCACCGACCAAUCUGCUGACGCCGAUGGGCGCCCAAUCGCGCAACUCGGAAACAGAAUCUGCCUCAACCCCACGACCGUGACAUUACUAUUAGAUAAUAAAAGUGCGAUCGAUGGUUCGAACGUGACGUGAUUUGAAAAAAAUGUCUGCAGACACUGCGUGGUAAUUUUUAUUUUUUUUUUAAUCCGAAAUUCGUCCUUAAGAUUUCCACCUGCUACAGUUGUGUUGGAUGCGUUAUUCCGCUGUUCCGCUUUGGUGCGCUUUCCGAGAGAGAAAUCUCUCAUCGGCUGACGAGCAUGAGUGCCCGCCGUCUCGGUACCGGUAGGUAGGGAGAGGAAUCCCGGCUUUAGAGGAAAACAAUUAGAAGGUCAUUCGAGUCCACAAUACAACAACGAGAUCAACAAUCCGAACUGAAUGUAAUGUGUAACUUAAUAGAUAAUAACUUUGUAAAAAAAAAAAAAACAGAUUAAAUAAUAGAACAUAAAACGUUUUACUUUUU